GAUGAACGCUGGCGGCGUGCUUAACACAUGCAAGUCGAACGAAGCACUUCUGAUUGAUUCUUCGGAAGAUUGAUUAAGUGACUGAGUGGCGGACGGGUGAGUAACGCGUGGGUAACCUGCCUCAUACAGGGGGAUAACAGUUAGAAAUGACUGCUAAUACCGCAUAAGCGCACAGUACCGCAUGGUACGGUGUGAAAAACUCCGGUGGUAUGAGAUGGACCCGCGUCUGAUUAGCUAGUUGGUAGGGUAACGGCCUACCAAGGCGACGAUCAGUAGCCGACCUGAGAGGGUGAACGGCCACAUUGGGACUGAGACACGGCCCAAACUCCUACGGGAGGCAGCAGUGGGGAAUAUUGCACAAUGGGGGAAACCCUGAUGCAGCGACGCCGCGUGAGUGAUGAAGUAUUUCGGUAUGUAAAGCUCUAUCAGCAGGGAAGAAAAUGACGGUACCUGACUAAGAAGCACCGGCUAAAUACGUGCCAGCCGCCGCUGUAAUAC
rnacentral:rRNA from 1 species